GAUGAACGCUGGCGGCGUGCCUAAUACAUGCAAGUCGAGCGAACGGACGAGAAGCUUGCUUCUCUGAUGUUAGCGGCGGACGGGUGAGUAACACGUGGAUCACCUACCUAUAAGACUGGGAUAACUUCGGGAAACCGGAGCUAAUACCGGAUAAUAUUUUGAACCGCAUGGUUCAAAAGUGAAAGACGGUCUUGCUGUCACUUAUAGAUGGAUCCGCGCUGCAUUAGCUAGUUGGUAAGGUAACGGCUUACCAAGGCAACGAUGCAUAGCCGAUCUGAGAGGGUGAUCGGCCACACUGGAACUGAGACACGGUCCAGACUCCUACGGGAGGCAGCAGUAGGGAAUCUUCGGCAAUGGGCGAAAGCCUGACGGAGCAACGCCGCGUGAGUGAAGAAGGCCUUCGGAUCGUAAAGCUCUGUUAUUAGGAAAGAACAGAAGUGUAAGAAACUGUGCACAUCUUGACGGUACCUAAACAGAAAGCCACGGCUAACUUCGUG
rnacentral:rRNA from 1 species